rnacentral:rRNA from 1 species
AUGCAAAACUUGCUUAGAGGAGGCCAUGGGUACGUUGGACCUGAAGGGGGGCAGUAUAGGUCGGGUUCAAGCAGUCAGGCUUCGUGGAUUAGCCGCAAGAUAAAAAAUGAUCUGAUUGGAGAGCAUAAUGAUGUUGUUACUGUCGAUGGUUGCAUAGUUAGGAGCAAUUUCACGCUUGACAAAGUUGCUUUGGCUUUGGAAAAAUGGGGGGAAGAGCAGAAGCAAGUAGUUCAUGCCAUUGGCCUUGGAGGAAUAUUGAAGCUAGGAAAAACUGGGAAGAACUUUAUCUCCUUCACUCUUUCUCUGCUGGAAAGAAUCGAUCCGAGCGACAGUAGUAUGAGGCUUUCAGGCGGUGUGAAGUCAAUCUUGGGUGAGAUUGAGAUUUGUUCUUAUAUGGAUUUAAGAAAAGGAGGUCUUAGUCUUCAGAGGCAGGUAGGACGGCCAAGCGGUCAGCAGUGCGUGAGGGCUAGGUUACUACUGGGCAUGGAGCCGAUGGAAGCUGAGCUAACUGUCGGAGAUCUAGUUAAGAAACUCCAAGAGCCGGUUGACUCGACAAUGAGUGCACGGCAGAGGCUGAAAACAGAGUUGGGGAGUGCUAUGCUUGCUGUUGCUGCAGUGUUUGGACCAGGGGAUGGUCGAAACCACGUCCCAACCGAUGCUUACCAGCUAGUUGACGAUCUAUCGAAGAUUUAUCAUUGGAACUACGGUAGAUAUGCUUUGGAGGAGAUAAUAAGAGGUGCCAUGAGCCUGGCAGAGGCGAAAAUGAACGGAUACAAAUCUAUUUGUCUCUAUGGUUGUCCAACCAUCCUGCAGAUACACUACUUCAGCUCUGUGGAUACAGGGUUUUUGACCCUAGACACGUCCCAAUUAGCUCAUGUUAAUCUAUACUCCUCAUCAGUUGUGCGAGCUUUCAUAGAGGCAGAUACCUUAGUCGAAGCUGGGGAUAUGAAGUUUGGAGUAUUGAAGGUCAAAGUAUCUCAAUCAGCCAUACCAUCGGGGGGCGGUUGUAUUCACUCUGAGGCUCUUCUGUAUAUUAAAGAUCUGUUUAGGACUUCUAAGGAGAAGGCAGACUCAACUAGUGAUGAGUUCACUCAGGUUAUUUCCAAGGUUGAUUCAAAUGAUGUGGAUAAAAUAAGGAGUCUGAUAGAACAGCAUGAAAUGGCACAAUGUAUCUAUAGGCUAAAAGAUUGGAAAACUAUGGAUGGCGUAAUAGGAAAAGCCUUACAGGGGAAAUGUGCAGGGAUGCCAAAGUUGAAAACUCAAUUACUAGAAGGUGUGGUUCUUGAUAGCGAAAACCCAAAGGUGGUUAAUGAAUAUAAUCAAGGUGGGGCAAGCGUUAUAGGAUCCGUAUGUGUUCAUGAGGACCAUGAUGUGAAAACGGUAGCAGAGGUACUGGCUGGAAUGAAAACAGGCUUGCUUGGGCCCGACUGGAGCGGCGCUAGUGCCAGGAGGCAAGGUACAGGGGAGAUUACAGUAGCAGUACAUUCAACAGAACAUUCAGUCUUGCCACAUGAUGAAAGUUCAGUUAUCGAAAAUUCAGGGAUGCAUGUUGUUAGCACUAGGACGAAUAUUAUUGGAGGUACACAUGCUGGUCGCUAUGAGACGGCGCAACCAGUGUUGAAAUUCUAUGCCAGGAGGCCGGUGAAAAGAAGAGAAUUUUUUUUGGUUGGUGAAAGAACCAAUGAAGGAUGUACCGUUGUGAGUGAAACUGUUAAGAUCGACGAAACAUACAAUGUACUUGCGCUUGAGGCCGUCAAGGUUAAGAGUUUGGAUGUUGGAUUACCUGCGGCAAGCGUUACAGCUGGUGAGCAGCUACAUCCUUCAGGUGGAAUCAUGUUAGAUGAUGAUCCACAUAGUGUCAAGCAGAAGUCGAUAUCUCAAAUAAAUCGACUAAUUGAAGUAUGUAAGUGUCAAAAGGUUGCUGGAAAGUCUGUUGUAGCAGGAUCUGUAGCUUAUAUAGUCAGAACUAAUGAUGUACUGAAGUCAUGUAACGAUGCGCUGCGGAAAUCAAAAGGAAUGGAACUAAAGAGGUGUUGGAUUGAUCACCCAUUCCCAAACGAACUAAAGAUUUCUGGAGCUGAAAUUAAAGCAAUGAUGAAACCAGGAGCAGAAGUUAAUACUAGACAAUUUGAGAUUUUUAGAAGGCUGGUAUAUUCUGAGGAUAAAAAGCUUUAUGCUCCUGGUUCGUUGUUAAGGCUGGGAGAGUUCUUCAUCUCAGCUUUGCGGGGAAAGUGCUGGCUGGUGAACCUUUCAAGAAUGAUGUUGAUAUAA